rnacentral:tRNA from 1 species
GCCUGGGUGGCUCAGUCGGUUGAGUGUCCGACUUAGGCUCAGGUCAUGAUCUCAUGGUUCGUGGGUUCGAGCCCUGCGUCAGGCU